rnacentral:RNase_P_RNA from 1 species
AAAGUAGGCCACCUUAUCGCCACAUCCCGGUGUGGAGGAAAGUCCGGACACCAUAGAGCAGCAUAGUGGAUAACACCCACCAGUCGUGAGAUUAGGACAAGUGCAACAGAAAGUAUGUACAGGUUAAGCUGUAGUGAAACCAGGUAAACUCUAUGCGGUGCAAUGCCAUGUAUACCGGCAUUUAAGGGUUGCUCGCCCGUUGCUGGAGGGUAGGCAGCUAAAGAUUCUUGGUAACAAGAAUAUGAGAUAAAUGAUAAGGACCUUGAUUUUAUCGAGGGACAGAAUCCGGCUUAUCGGCCUACUUUUUUU